AGAGUUUGAUCAUGGCUCAGGAUGAACGCUAGCUACAGGCUUAACACAUGCAAGUCGAGGGGAAACGACAUCGAAAGCUUGCUUUUGAUGGGCGUCGACCGGCGCACGGGUGAGUAACGCGUAUCCAACCUGCCCAUCACUUGGGGAUAACCUUGCGAAAGUAAGACUAAUACCCAAUGACGUCUCUAGAAGACAUCUGAAAGAGAUUAAAGAUUUAUCGGUGAUGGAUGGGGAUGCGUCUGAUUAGCUUGUUGGCGGGGUAACGGCCACCAAGGCGACGGAUCAGUAGGGGGUUCUGAGAGGAAGGUCCCCCCACAUUGGAACUGAGACACGGUCCAAACUCCUACGGGAGCA
rnacentral:rRNA from 1 species